rnacentral:rRNA from 1 species
GAUGAACGCUGGCGGCGUGCCUAAUACAUGCAAGUCGAGCGAACAGACGAGGAGCUUGCUCCUCUGACGUUAGCGGCGGACGGGUGAGUAACACGUGGAUAACCUACCUAUAAGACUGGGAUAACUUCGGGAAACCGGAGCUAAUACCGGAUAAUAUAUUGAACCGCAUGGUGCAAUAGUGAAAGACGGUUUUGCUGUCACUUAUAGAUGGAUCCGCGCCGCAUUAUCUAGUUGGUAAGGUAACGGCUUACCACGGCAACGAUGCGUAGCCGACCUGCUAGGCUGAUAGGCCACAAUGGAACUGAGACACGCUCAAGACUCCUACGAGAGGCAGCAGAAGGCAAUCUUCCGCAGUGGGCGAAAGCCUGACGCAGCACCGCCGAGUGAGUGAUGAAGGUCUUCCGAUCGUAAAACUCUGCUAUUAGGGAAGAACAACUGUCUAAGUAACUAUGCACGUCUUGACGGUACCUAAUCAGAAAGCAACGGCUAACUACGUG